GACAGGAGGGUGAUCUGGCUGUGAACUAUGAUCUCUGUCACCCCAUUGGUGUCAGGGUUGAUCUGUCUGAACUGGUGGCUAGGCAUGUGUCUCCCUUCCUCCCAUCCAACUC
rnacentral:sRNA from 1 species